GCAAGUUCUAGAAGAGGCUCCAGUUGCAGGUUUAAAAGGGACAAAUGCCUCAGUUGUCUUUAUUACUUAUUGUUACUAUAAUUACGAAUUACCAUUUGGGUUCUAAUUAAGGGUUAUUCUCCAAUGAUGCAAUGCCAGCCGGAUGAAGCCUUGUUGCCAAUGACCGUGCGUUUUCUGAGAGUAUUACACCGAGGGCUUCUUAGAGAAUUCGCUGACGAUGUUGAUGUACAUGUCGCAGAAUCUGCUAGACGGUGAAAACAGAGGCCAAGCUCAUAAUAGCGGAGCUGUCUAGGACGCCCACUUAGUAACGGAGCAUUCAAAGGAGGAACUGAAACGCCACGCUCAUUGACUGAAACGAGUGCACGCGAUGUUAGUUGCAGAUAGAUGAUUCAGCAAACCUUCGGAUCGUUUCAAAAAAUAAAUGAAGGUUAAAACAUUUUCAGGAUUGAGAGUGAAAGAAAACCUUGGUGAACUAUGGCUGUACUUACUACAAAGGAACUGUGAUGAUUAAACAGAAGAACAGCGUCCAUGUAACCACGUCUGAAUUCCUUCAUGCUGCAAUGAAACCUUUCCGAAUCAGGAAGGUCCCAGAAAGUGACUGGAAAAUCACGCGCUGGCAUAUUUACCCAUUCUUGGCGCUAUUCUCGUAUAUUCUCUGUAUUGCUAAACGUUAGCCCCCCUCCACCCGCUUAUACGCCCCUUUUCUGCCGUAGGUUCACGUAAGAGGGUAAAUUCCCUUGAAAGACUUGUGUUAAUAAGAGUGUGCUGAUCAUAAACAUGUUGAUAGAUAACUGCCAUUCAGAGAA